AUAUCUAGCAACAUGUCGAUGGUCCCUAACUUUGAUGUACUUUAGCUAGCAAGCAAGACAAGGCAGCAACAUAUUCAGCAGCUAGUUAGUCGUGUAAGCUUUGAAAGAGGAGAAAGUCCAUUGAUCUUGCGCUCUACCUCAACAUGACGACCAAGCAGGAAUUCUUUGUGGACAUGACAUGUGAGGGAUGCUCUGGUGCAGUUACCCGAGUCCUCAAUAAACUGGGUGGUGUCCAAUUUGAGAUCGACCUCCCCAACAAGAAGGUUUUCAUUGAGUCUGACAAGGACACGGACGUGCUUCUGGAAACACUUAAGAAGACUGGAAAGGAGGCUAACUACAUCGGCCCCAAGUGAAGAAUCCUCCUCUUUCCUCUUAUAGACCAGCUGUUGGGUUGGUGAUUAUCUGAAGGAUGACUAUGAGAAGAAAGAACCCUCUGACUGCAGAACAGUCUUGCUGUUAUGUCUUCAUGGAUCACUGUAAAGAGUCCACGCUGCCAAGCUGUCCACUUUUGUUAUUUAAACACUAUUAUUUAUGCAUCCCAAAUGGCACCCUAUGGACCCCAGUCCAAAGUAAGGCACUAUUAUACGGAAUAGAGUACUGUUUGGGACGCAUCCACUAUGAAAAUCCAGUACGAUUGCUGACAAAAUUAAAUAGAUCAUGUACCUCUAUGGGUAAAUGUUAGGCCUACUGCAGGUAAAUUAGAUUAUGGGGGGGAAUCAUCCUGUAUUAAGGUUUCCUUUCAUCUCUGAAUAUUGUUCAUGUUCACCCAUAUGUAAAAUUAAAAAGUUGAUUCUA